UAGCGAAGGGGGCUAGCGUUGCUCGGAAUCACUGGGCGUAAAGGGUGCGUAGGCGGGUCUUUUAAGUCAGGGGUGAAAUCCUGGAGCUCAACUCCAGAACUGCCUUUGAUACUGAGGAUCUUGAGUAUGGGAGAGGUGAGUGGAACUGCGAGUGUAGAGGUGAAAUUCGUAGAUAUUCGCAAGAACACCAGUGGCGAAGGCGGCUCACUGGCCCAUUACUGACGCUGAGGCACGAAAGCGUGGGGAGCAAACAGG
rnacentral:rRNA from 1 species